UAAAUUGGACAUCUUGUCCUGCUCAUUGAGGAGCAAGCAAAUAGCAGCACUGGGAUUCAACCCAGUCUGAGGCUGACUCCAGAGUCACCUAACUGAUAACAGGAAGACAGACAUGUGGAUGGGUGGACAGACUGGGAGAUGGGAAGAUAGAGGUAUACAGAUGGAGACAGCAAAUACCCUCUGCUUACAACUGCCAAGUGCACCAUCAUGCAGAGUCCAGCGUGCUGCACUUUGAAGCCAGGCAGGUUAGCAGAUGGGCAAUCAGUGGGGUACAGAUUCAAAAACCAAAGCAAGAGCCACAGAACAUACAGUUCUGAGGUUUCUGUACAAUCUCCACAAGCAGGUAGCAGCUAAAUACAUUCUGUUUACUGAACACAAUGUGGGUAAAAUUGCUCUCUGUAGUUGUAGAAGUUUGUUUUUCCUCUUUCCUAGUUACUGAUCAGGAGACAGCUUUGGAUGCUCCAGAGGAAAGCUCUCUCUCCUCUCCAGACCCUCAGCAGCCCACAAGUAUUGUUUCAAUAAGUACACUCAGUACACCAGAGAUUAAGAAAGAAGAAAAAGAACAAACUAGUCAAGACUCUGACUUGACCAGUGAAGCAAAUCUUCAGUAUCUAGGAUUGACAAGGAAGAAAAGUGGCAUCCUGCUGCUCACACUUGUGUCCUUCCUCAUCUUCAUCCUCUUCAUCAUAGUCCAGCUCUUCAUAAUGAAGCUGCGGAAGGCACACGUGGUCUGGAAGAAGGAAAAUGAAAUGUCAGAACACACCCUAGAAAGUUACAGAUCAAGGUCAAAUAAUGAAGAAACAUCUUCCCAAGAGAAAAAUGGUCAAACUUCCCACUCUAAGCAUUGCAUGAACUACAUUGCAAAGCUGUACUCAGAAGCAAAAACAAAGGAGAAUGCACAACAUUCACAAUUAGAAGAAAAGUGUACUCACAUCCCAGAGAGUAUUGUGUAAUGUUCCCUGUGAUAGAAGAUAGGUUUUCAGAGCAACAUUGCUGUCAGUAGAGCAGCCUGUGGGAAAGAGAUAAUUACUGUGACAUGAAAAAUGUCAAUUGAGUGCAAUCUAUGAUGUUGUCCUCUGAGCCUGGGCAAAAACACAAGGACCAAACCAUGGACAGAAAGCUCCUCAUUAAAAAAAGAAAGAAAGAACCUAUUAUGCCUGAUGCUACUUCAGAGCAGGAGGACUCCACUAAGCCUUGGGCAUCAGGGUCAGUGUGACCAGCCAACAUCUUACCUUGAAGAGAAUGAAAGUUUUUAUUUUUAAAAUUUUUUUAUUUUUGGAAUGAAAGAUUUUUGAUACUAGGCUGUAGUGGAACUACAUAAAAAAAAUUUUUUGAAACAAGUCUUUCCCUCUGGUCAUGAAAUAAAGAACUUUAGGAUGAAAAGUACCUAAAACAGAUCUCCAAUCCUAGGAGGUUGCUUUCUAUUGGGCAUUAUGAUGAUGUAACCAAUACAUGGGUGUCCAAGAGGAUUGGUGUGUCACAGUGACUGAGUCAGAAAGAUGGACACAAAAGCCCCAAGAUCUACUUCCAGGACACAAGGAGUGAGCGCAGAGGAGGCCCAAAGAUCAGAAUUUCUACCCAGGUGUGGUAGUGCACACCUGUAAUCCUAGCGCUUAGGAAGCUGAGGCAGGAGGAUCACUGUGAGUUUGAGGCCAGCCUGAACUAUGUAAUAAGCCCUUGUCUCAAAAAACUUUAAAAAAAAAGGAUUCCUUAAGCUUUCUUGCUAAAUCACAUAUGCUGACUUGAUAGGCAAAGUGUUUAACCUGGUUACUCCAUGACAAAGGCAUGUACAAAAGAAAUUAAUAAGCUUGCCCAACAGAUCAUUGACUUAAUAAAUGGGUUUUUAAAGUUAUUUAAUAAAGGGUAGAGUGUGUAUUUGUUUUUUCUAGCAAUUGUGGUCAAAGUUGUGUUUCCUACCUUCAUAUGAGAAAAGCGAUAUGUGACAUCUUUUUUUUCUAUCAGUUUAUUUAAAUUAUAGCAAACUCUGGCAUUAUGUGGAACAUUUCUCAUUGUUUGGGUCUGAAUAAACUAAUCCUAAAAAACCCCACAUAGAUAUAUUAUGGUCUGGUAAUUUGUUACAGGAGUCUUGCCCUGCUAUGCUUUUUUCCUGAUGAUAAUAUUUUAAGCAAUCACAAAAUUAUAGAAAUAUGUAAAGAUAGUCUGCUCCACCUUCGUCUGAGAGUAAGGUGACAUGAUGCUUAUCACCUCCCAAAUACAUUAGCAUGUCUUUCCUACAGAAUAGGACACUCUCUCCUAUAACUACAAUGCAACCAUCACAAUCAGGAAAUUAACAUUGUUUUAUUUCUAGGAAUACUCCUUAGAUGCAGAUGCCAGUCAAGUUUUUCCAGUUGUCCCUAUUGUCCCAAAGGACCCAGUUCAGAAUCACACUUGACUUUUGCCUCAGUCAGUUUGGAACAGUUCCUCAAUGUUGUCCUUACUUUCAUGACCCCCAUAUAUUUGCAGAACACAGGCUAAUUAUUUUGUAGAUCACCCUGUAGUCCCUCUCCCACCUCUGCCCCAUCCCCUUCUUUUCAAGAUGUCCCCCUCCUCUUGCUCAGGCUCGAUUCCCCUGCCCACCCCAUGCAAUGUGGAUGUUCUGCUCACCAAGCAUAAGCUCUGGCCCCAACAUGAAGUGGUCUCGCUAUGCACACAUGUAAACACACACACUCACAUUCGUGCUGCAUGGUAACACUUCUCACCCCCUCAGGUUCAUACCACAGGCUGCACAGCCCACUGAGGCACACUGCCUCCUCACCAGCCCCCUGGACUUCCACAGCUUUCCUACUAACACCACCAUGGAUGCCCACUUUGCUGUACCUGGCUUAAGGAUUUUAGGACUAAAUUGUUUGGCAAAAACAGAGAACGGGACUUAGGAGACAGGGAAUGAACGAGAUGUCCUGUUUUCUAAGAGUUUUGAUGAGCAAAGGCACCAGGAUUAGGCUGUUAUUUAUAGUUUACUAGUGGCCCUGAGUCAGAAAUCAUUCUGACCCAUAAGUCUUCUGCAAAUACAGAGGGAAGGACAUCUUCCCAGUAGAUAUGGUGACUAAACCUUGAUGCUGUGUUGGCUGCCUUUGAGUUUACAUUUGGAAAUGAGGUUAACUGUGAAUGCUCCCUUGUUUCCAAUUCCUUCUUCCAAAAGGCCAAAUGAAAGUGCCAACAUUUCAGUAGCACCCAGGACUGAGGUAAGCACACUUAGCCAACUAUCAGAAUUGCCUCAGAGGAAAUCCUAAAACAGGAUCCCCAGGUCUGUCCCAGUGAUCAGUCUCAGGAGACUCGAGGUAGAGUUUUGGAAUCUGCAGUUUUCAAAAGCCUCCUCAGUGAUGCCAAUAGGUUGGGGAAGCUUAGUGGAGCCAAAACAAACAUUUUCAAAGGAUGGCCAAGUUAUCAGUGCUAUGUUCUCCUGGUGAUGAAUGUGUUCUUAGUGUCCUGGAGGCAGAGGACCUUAAGUGUCAUCUAGCCCUACCUGGUGUGGAAAUGCAUCUCAAUACACAGGCCAAACACAUUCUGUGGAUAAAGAACAUCUAACUUGCACAGUGCCCAGCCCGCAGUUGUUUCAUAAUUUAUAUUUGGCAAAUGGCAGAGAGAGGAAAGGAAACAGAAAAAAUACAUCUGUUAGAGGACCUACUAUGAGUCCGACACUUUUUAUGGGUAUUCUAAAUUAAUCAUAACAGUCUUGCAACAUAUGUCUUACAGCACAUACUAGAGGCAUGAGAGACAGUUGAAAUGCUGCAAAAUGACUUAGAAAAAUGAACGACUAAGGUGGAACCCAGAUACUGAUCCGGGUCUGUCUAGCUUCCAGGCUCUGUCCCUUCUACUCUUAUACUAAAAUGGCUCCAGGGAAAUAUUUAAGGUGGAAUAAGAUGUUGAGGAGCUGUGCUCAAUACUUUCAAUUUGCCCUAAGAGACUGACACUUUGGGCUACAUCAGUGGGCUCCUACUGACUUCCAGUUGGAAAAUACAGAGCACCAGCAGGUGAGCAGGGAGCACCUGGAAUACACAGGUGCUCGGACUAUGUCUCCUAGCUAGAGCCACAACUCUGCUUAAGCAGUUUCCUCCAUCUCUGCUUCUGCAAUCUACCUGCUCCCUUCACCUCUGCAGGCAUGAGAGGACACUGCACCAUCUUUUGCGGCUCCCCCAAAGCUUUGAAUCUAGCUUAUUUAUUAAAUCUCCCCAACUUUCCUACAUCAUCUGUACUGUGCUGAGAACCUGAACGAUAAAAUAGCUGUAUUUAUGGAUUUCUUUCAACUCAACAAAUCUCAAUCUAGUUUUAUAGGUAAUCAUAAAAUAUUAUAAUUGGGACAGAUCUUAGAGUUUGUGUUAAGCAUUUCCUAAAAUGCACUUUGAGGAACAUUGAUGUCCUAGAAAUUUUUGAUAGGGGGAAGAAGUUUUCUGGGGCCAAAUAAGUUUAAAAAUGUUGAACAUUGUUGGAUUUCUGGAAUCCUAACUAUUAUAUGCCUAUAUGUAGAUUUUUUUUGAUUAAGGCUAGCUGGAGACCUAUAUGCCUCACUUAUCUGUAUGUCAAGUUCUUUUCCCCUCCUUGGGAAGUUUUCUGCCAUCACUUCUGUGAAGAGUUUUUUUAUGUCAUCUGCACUCUCCUCUUUCUUCAUUGAAAA
rnacentral:lncRNA from 1 species